rnacentral:rRNA from 1 species
CGAGGAGGUAGGGCUUACGCUUGCGUUUGUCUGUUAUAUCUUGGUGGACGAGUUGUCGCGGUUGGGACUGAGGUGCCUACAACGUGCUUUUGAGUGAGUUUGUGUCUCCGUGUGCGCCGUGUGUGGAUAGCUUGCUAUGUAUGUGCGGUUGUGUGUGGAUUGAUGCGGGCUUUAACUUGUUGCCGUUCGGGACGUUGGCGAAAUGGAGCGAUCCGACCCGUCUUGAAACACGGACCAAGGAGUCUAACAUGUGUGCAAGUGUUAGGGUGUGGAAACCCCAGCGCGAAAUGAAAGUGAAGGGCAGCGCAAGUUGUCUGAGGUAGGAAACGUUGCGGGCCUCGGUCUGCGGCGUGGCACUAUCGACCGAUCAUGAACCUUCGUGGUGAAAGAUUUGAGUUUGAGCACAUAUGUUGGUACCCGAAAGAUGGUGAACUAUGCCUGAGUAGGGUGAAGCCAGGGGAAACUCUGGUGGAAGCUCGUAGCGAUUCUGACGUGCAAAUCGAUCGUCAAACUUGGGUAUAGGGGCGAAAGACUAAUCGAACCAUCUAGUAGCUGGUUCCCUCCGAAAUUUCCCUCAGGAUAGCAGCAACUUAUUUACGAUAGUUUUAUGAGGUAAAGCGAAUGAUUAGAGGAUUCGGGGAAGAAACUUCCUCGACCUAUUCUCAAACUUUAAAUCUGUAAGACCUGCAGGUUUCUUAAU